GGCCCAGUGUGGUGUAGUGGUUUAAGCGCUGGACUCUGACUCUAGGGACCAGGGUUCGAAUCCUGGCUUGAUCA